rnacentral:rRNA from 1 species
UGGGCAACCUGCCUCAUACAGAGGGAUAAUCAUGUGAAACGUGACUAAUACCGCAUGUCGUUUCGGGAGGGCAUCCUCCUGAAAGAAAAGGAGCAAUCCGGUAUGAGAUGGGCCCGCAUCUGAUUAGCUAGUUGGUGAGAUAACAGCCCACCAAGGCGACGAUCAGUAGCCGACCUGAGAGGGUGAUCGGCCACAUUGGGACUGAGACACGGCCCAA